AGGAAGUGGCAGAGUGGUUAUGCGACUGGCUUGAAACCAGUACACGGGGGUUCAAUUCCUCCCUUUCUC
rnacentral:tRNA from 1 species